AUAAUGCAAGUCGAGCGAAUGGAUUAAGAGCUUGCUCUUAUGAAGUUAGCGGCGGACGGGUGAGUAACACGUGGGUAACCUGCCCAUAAGACUGGGAUAACUCCGGGAAACCGGGGCUAAUACCGGAUAACAUUUUGAACUGCAUGGUUCGAAAUUGAAAGGCGGCUUCGGCUGUCACUUAUGGAUGGACCCGCGUCGCAUUAGCUAGUUGGUGAGGUAACGGCUCACCAAGGCAACGAUGCGUAGCCGACCUGAGAGGGUGAUCGGCCACACUGGGACUGAGACACGGCCCAGACUCCUACGGGAGGCAGCAGUAGGGAAUCUUCCGCAAUGGACGAAAGUCUGACGGAGCAACGCCGCGUGAGUGAUGAAGGCUUUCGGGUCGUAAAACUCUGUUGUUAGGGAAGAACAAGUGCUAGUUGAAUAAGCUGGCACCUUGACGGUACCUAACCAGAAAGCCACGGCUAACUACGUGCCAGCAGCCGCGGUAAUACGUAGGUGGCAAGCGUUAUCCGGAAUUAUUGGGCGUAAAGCGCGCGCAGGUGGUUUCUUAAGUCUGAUGUGAAAGCCCACGGCUCAACCGUGGAGGGUCAUUGGAAACUGGGAGACUUGAGUGCAGAAGAGGAAAGUGGAAUUCCAUGUGUAGCGGUGAAAUGCGUAGAGAUAUGGAGGAACACCAGUGGCGAAGGCGACUUUCUGGUCUGUAACUGACACUGAGGCGCGAAAGCGUG
rnacentral:rRNA from 1 species